UACAGAGGUCCCAAGCGUUGUUCGGAUUCAUUGGGCGUAAAGGGCGCGUAGGCGGUUCGGUAAGUCCUGUGUGAAAUCCCUCGGCUCAACUGAGGAACUGCACGGGAGACUGCCGGGCUUGAGUUCGGGAGAGGGAAGCGGAAUUCCGGGUGUAGCGGUGAAAUGCGUAGAUAUCCGGAGGAACACCGGUGGCGAAGGCGGCUUCCUGGACCGACACUGACGCUGAGGCGCGAAAGCUAGGGGAGCAAACGGG
rnacentral:rRNA from 1 species